UCAUUCUUCCCCACACCCCCUACCCUCUCUCCACUCCCCCAACUAUAAAUUCCCUCUGUAGCAUGCUGCCCUUUUUUAAUCCACAUUUGUGUUUCAGAUCAUGUAGAAAGGACAGAAAGUGAGCAGGGAGCGGGGGCUUUUGUCUAUCCUUGUGCUACCUGAGAGAAACUGCAGUCCCAAGACUUUACAGUCUAAAAAUGGAUUGCUCUACUGGCCACUGCUCUUGUUGGUCUUUCCCAGGAUCCUUAGGAUCAAAACUUGAUGCAGUGAGGAAACUGAGCUAAAUGAACUUUUAGUCAGUCUGUGACCAUGUUUUUUUUUUUCCUCCUCUAUUGCUCCAGUGAUUUGUCAGUAUUGGAUAUGACGUUACUGAAGAACUUAAGCAUGCAGACUUUGAUGCUGAGUUUUGCUGCCAUGCUGUGUGUUUACCUUACUCUGCAACAAGAGACUUGGUUGUGCAUCUGCUUCUGCAGUUCCCUUUAAGUAUAGAUACAUAUAGUUGCUAAUUAAAUCAUUACCUGAUUGCUCUUGAAGAGCAAAUGAUGAAGUCACAAAUAACUGACUGAAAAUUCAGAUACUAUUUUAAUAUUCACACCUGUUACUGAUGUUUUCCUAUGUCUAUGUUAAGUAAAAUAACAAAAGCUACCAUUAUUGCACACAGGCAAACAAGAAGAAAACGUGUUGGGUUGAACAGGUUUGGGAGUUUGGUUUUCUGGAGGGCUUGUUUUGUUAUUUGAUUUCUGUAAUAUUUUAUAGUUCUAGAGCCCCAUGUGCUGAAAUUAACUGGUGGAAUAAAGUAGUUCACAGCCUUUUUUUUUUUUUUUUUUUUUCCUUUUAUCAGCCAAUGGAACUUUCAAUAUAAUAUACAUUUGUUUCUUAUUCUGGAAUAAUUGCAUUUCUUUUCCUUUCGAGGCGUGUGGUACUGUGGUAAUGAAUAUCUUUGUUAAAUUCAUGAAUUCAGUCAGAAGUUGGAUGUGUGUUUAUGACAGCAUUCACAAUGUACCACUUGAUUUUUUUUUCUCUUACUCUUCAUAUGCGUGGUAAAUAUUAACAAUGCUUUGCAAUAGUUUUUGCAUGCUUAAUGAGGAAAAAGAGCAGCAUGAGAGCACUUGUAGCACACAAACUAGAUUCAUCCUGACUAAUACAGAAAAGUCCAAAUUCUCUCUGCCUAAAAGCUGUGUUACACUCAGAUGGUGUGGGGAGGAUUUCUCUCAAAAGAAGAACGAACUGUUUUCUACCACUAACCUCAUUCAGUCAUGUAUACCAGAAGACUGCUAACAUUUCUGUUGAGGGGCUCUUACCAGCUAAAGUAUUUGGCAGGAACGUGCUAACUAUAUACUCAGUCUGGAUUACUUUGUGCUUUUCCCCUCCUCAACACCAUACUUGCUCAGUUUUGAAGGCCCGUAGUCAGGUAAGAGACCUGUUGGUAGCAAAACGUGCUUCCUUAGAGAACUUAGUCUCUACCAGCAUCCUUCCCUGCAGCAAGAGGCCCUGCAGCAGUAAAGCACAAUAAUCUUAAAAAGUAUGCACUUCAAUAAAUUUUGUGCAGUCACUCAGAUAGUUUUCUUUUAUACGUCAUGCCAUGCUGUAAGUAGAUAUUUAAAGAUGCAAACUGUGUAAUAUAGAUGAAGACAGGUGUGACUUCUUUGAAGAAGCUGAUGAUGAAGAGCCAGUGUAGGGGCUAGAUAGAAGCAAACACUUCAGUGUAACCCAGAGAAUACAAGCUUUAAGAGCAAUAAAAGAGACAAUGAAGAUGUGUUUAUAUGGUAAGUUUUGUAGUUAAAAGCUAUGAAAGCUACUUCCAAGGUCAUUUCUUUAUGUUGUGUAGGAAAGGAGCAGAUGACAUCUAGUUCUCUAAAACUGACAGAAAUUGAAGAAGUGAUGAACAAGGACUCCAAAAAAACCCCUAAUGAAUAAACUUGCUAAUUCAUGUACAGCAUGGAGAGGGGGAUGCAAGGAAAAGCGUACUUGUCUCAUUUAGGCUUUUUCAUCUCUAUGUGGUUGUGAGUUUGAGUCAUCAGAUGGGGAGGAAUAAAAAGAAGCAAUAAUAUCUUCCCCAUGGAAAGUCAGUGCCAGAAAAGGAUGCUGAUGCAAAGUUAAAGGCAAAUUCAGGUGUGCAGGUGUCUUGCCAUGUUCUGCCAAUAUAUUGCUGUGUGUUAAUUGUUACUUUAACGGGCAGCUCAAGUCUGAAGGUAGGCUGCUUGGAUUAAUCCCAGUUAGGAGGGGACUGAUUGUAUAUCUCUUCAUCAGUUCUCUCAAACCAUUUAUAUCCCUUUAUUUGCUGUGGCGAAGAUGUGUGAAAUGUUUAUAACCCCCUAUCUUUUAUUUGUUUCUUUCUUUUUCUUUUUUCUUCUUUUUUCCACUGAGUUCUGAAUGCUCAUGGCAUGUCACUGAUGUGGAAAGCAUAAUUGCUAGGAAAACCUACUACCCUGACAGUGUAUUGAAAAUGCA